rnacentral:rRNA from 2 species
UUAAGCAUAUCAAUAAGCGGAGGAAAAGAAACCAACAGGGAUUGCCUUAGUAACGGCGAGUGAAGCGGCAACAGCUCAAAUUUGAAAUCUGGCUCUUUUAGGGUCCGAGUUGUAAUUUGCAGAGGGCGCUUUGGCUUUGGCAGCGGUCCAAGUUCCUUGGAACAGGACGUCACAGAGGGUGAGAAUCCCGUACGUGGUCGCUAGCUAUUGCCGUGUAAAGCCCCUUCGACGAGUCGAGUUGUUUGGGAAUGCAGCUCUAAAUGGGAGGUAAAUUUCUUCUAAAGCUAAAUAUUGGCCAGAGACCGAUAGCGCACAAGUAGAGUGAUCGAAAGAUGAAAAGCACUUUGGAAAGAGAGUCAAACAGCACGUGAAAUUGUUGAAAGGGAAGCGCUUGCAGCCAGACUUGCUUGCAGUUGCUCAUCCGGGCUUUUGCCCGGUGCACUCUUCUGUAGGCAGGCCAGCAUCAGUUUGGGCGGUGGGAUAAAGGUCUCUGACACGUUCCUUCCUUCGGGUUGGCCAUAUAGGGGAGACGUCAUACCACCAGCCUGGACUGAGGUCCGCGCAUCUGCUAGGAUGCUGGCGUAAUGGCUGUAAGCGGCCCGUCUUGAAACACGGACCAAGGAGUCUAACAUCUAUGCGAGUGUUUGGGUGUCAAGCCCGAGCGCGUAAUGAAAGUGAACGGAGGUGGGAACCCGCAAGGGUGCACCAUCGACCGAUCCUGAAGUUUACGGAAGGAUUUGAGUAAGAGCAUGGCUGUUGGGACCCGAAAGAUGGUGAACUAUGCUUGAAUAGGGUGAAGCCAGAGGAAACUCUGGUGGAGGCUCGCAGCGGUUCUGACGUGCAAAUCGAUCGUCAAAUUUGGGCAUAGGGGCGAAAGACUAAUCGAC